UACAGAGGUCUCAAGCGUUGUUCGGAAUUACUGGGCGUAAAGGGCGCGUAGGCGGCUCUUUUAGUCAGGCGUGAAAGCCCUGGGCUCAACCUGGGAGUGGCGCUUGAUACUGGAGGGCUAGAGAGUGGGAGAGGUUGGUGGAAUUCCCAGUGUAGAGGUGAAAUUCGUAGAUAUUGGGAAGAACACCGGUGGCGAAGGCGGCCAACUGGACCAUUUCUGACGCUGAGGCGCGAAAGCGUGGGGAGCAAACAGG
rnacentral:rRNA from 1 species